UUGAACGCUGGCGGCAUGCUUUACACAUGCAAGUCGAACGGUAACAGCACUUCUGUGGCUGACGAGUGGCGAACGGGUGAGUAAGACAUCGGAACGUGCCUGGUAGUGGGGGAUAACUACUCGAAAGAGUAGCUAAUACCGCAUGAGAUCUAAGGAUGAAAGCAGGGGACCUUCGGGCCUUGUGCUACCACAGCGGCUGAUGGCAGAUUAGGUAGUUGGGGGGAUAAAAGCUUACCCCGCCCACAAUAUGUAGCUGGUCUGAGAGGACAACCACCCACACUGGGACUGAGACACGGCCCACACUCCUACGGGAGGCGGCAGUGGGGAAUUUUGGACAAUGGGCGCAAGCCUGAUCCACCAAUGCCCCGUGCAGGAUGAAGGCCUUCUGGUUGUAAACUGCUUUUGUACGGAACAAAAAGCUCUCUUCUAAUACAGGAGGGUCAUGACAGUACCCUAAGAAUAAGCACCGGCUAACUACAUGCCACCAGCCGCGGUAAUACGUAGGGUGCAAGCGUUAAUCGGAAUUACUGGGCGUAAAGCGUGCGCACGCGGUUUUGUAAGACAGAGGUGAAAUCCCCGGGCUCUACCUGGGAACUGCCUUUGUGACUGCAAGGCUGGAGUGCGGCAGAGGGGGAUGGAAUUCCCCGUGUGUCACUGAAAUGCGUAGAUAUGCGGAGGAACACCGAUGGCGAAAGCGAUCCCCUGGGCCUGCACUGACACUCAUGCACGAAAGCGUGGGGAGCACACGGGAUGAGAUACCGUUGUUGUCCACGCCCUAAGCGAUGUCAACUGGUUGUGGAGAAUUAAUUUUCUCAGUAACGAAGAUAACGCGUGAAGUUGACCGCGUGGAGAGUACGGCCGCAAGGUUGACACUCAAAGGAAUUGACGGAGACCCGCACAAGCGGUGGAUGAUGUGGUAUAUUUCGAUGCAACGAGAAACACCUUACCCACCUUUGACAUGGCAGGAAUUUACCAGAGAUGGUUUUGUGCUAGAAAGAGAACCCGCACACAGGUGGCACAUGGGUGUUGUCAGCUCGUGUUGUGAGAUGUUGGGUUAACUCCCGCAAAGAGCGCACCCCUUCCCUUUAGUUUAUAAAAAAGGGCACUAUAAUGGGACCGCGGGUGACAAACCGGAGGAAGGGGGGGAUGACGUCAAGUCCUCAUGCCCCUUAUAGGUGGGGCUACACACGUCAUACAAUGGGUGGUACAAAGGGUCGCCAACCCAGGAGGGGGAGCCAAUCCCAAAAAGCCAGUAGUAGUCAUGAUAGUAGUCUGCAACUCUGCGGCGUGAAGUCGGAAUCGCUAGUAAUCGCGAUCAGAAUGUCACGGAGAAUACGUUCCCGGGUCUUGUACACACC
rnacentral:rRNA from 1 species